UGGGGAAUUUUGGACAAUGGGCGCAAGCCUGAUCCAGCCAUGCCGCGUGCGGGAAGAAGGCCUUCGGGUUGUAAACCGCUUUUGUCAGGGAAGAAAUCUUCUGAGUUAAUACCUCGGGAGGAUGACGGUACCUGAAGAAUAAGCACCGGCUAACUACGUGCCAGCAGCCGCGGUAAUACGUAGGGUGCAAGCGUUAAUCGGAAUUACUGGGCGUAAAGCGUGCGCAGGCGGUUUUGUAAGACAGAGGUGAAAUCCCCGGGCUCAACCUGGGAACUGCCUUUGUGACUGCAAGGCUUGAGUGCGGCAGAGGGGGAUGGAAUUCCGCGUGUAGCAGUGAAAUGCGUAGAUAUGCGGAGGAACACCGAUGGCGAAGGCAAUCCCCUGGGCCUGCACUGACGCUCAUGCACGAAAGCGUGGGGAGCAAACAGGAUUAGAUAGCCCUGGUAGUCCACGCCCUAAACGAUGUCAACUGGUUGUUGGGAAGGUUCCUUCUCAGUAACGUAGCUAACGCGUGAAGUUGACCGCCUGGGGAGUACGGCCGCAAGGUUGAAACUCAAAUGAAUUGACGGGGU
rnacentral:rRNA from 1 species